rnacentral:tRNA from 1 species
GCCCCCGUGGCGGAACGGCAGACGCUACGGACUUAAAAUCCGUUGAACCGGAAGGUUCGUGUGGGUUCGAAUCCCACCGGGGGCA